CCCUUAGAUGUCCGGGGCCGCACGCGCGUUACACUGAAGGAAUCAGCGUGGCUUUCUCCCUGACCCGAAAGGGUUGGGAAACCCGUUGAAUCUCCUUCGUGAUAGGGAUUGGGGCUUGAAAUUGUUCCCCAUGAACGAGGAAUUCCCAGUAAGCGCGAGUCAUAAGCUCGCGUUGAUUACGUCCCUGCCCUUUGUACACACCGCCCGUCGCUACUACCGAUUGAACGGUUUAGUGAGGGCCUCGGAUUGGUCUCGGCCCGCUCUUUACCGGGCGGCGCCGUUGGUCGAGAAGACGCUCGAACUUGAUCGUUUAGAGGAAGUAAAAGUCGUAACA
rnacentral:rRNA from 1 species